GGGGAUUUGGCUCAGUGGUAGAGCGCUUGCCUAGCAAGCACAAGGUCCUGGGUUCGGUCCCCAGCUCCG
rfam:Rattus norvegicus chromosome 17, whole genome shotgun sequence.